rnacentral:rRNA from 1 species
GACGAACGCUGGCGGCGUGCCUAAUACAUGCAAGUAGAACGCACAGUUUAUACCGUAGCUUGCUCCACCAUAGACUGUGAGUUGCGAACGGGUGAGUAACGCGUAGGUAACCUGCCUGGUAGCGGGGGAUAACUAUUGGAAACGAUAGCUAAUACCGCAUAAUAUUAAUUAUUGCAUGAUAAUUAAUUGAAAGGUGCAAUUGCACCACUACCAGAUGGACCUGCGUUGUAUUAGCUAGUAGGUGAGGUAACGGCUCACCUAGGCGACGAUACAUAGCCGACCAGAGAGGGUGAUCGGCCACACUGGGACUGAGACACGGCCCAGACUCCUACGGGAGGCAGCAGUAGGGAAUCUUCGGCAAUGGACGAAAGUCUGACCGAGCAACGCCGCGUGAGUGAAGAAGGUUUUCGGAUCGUAAAGCUCUGUUGUAAGAGAAGAACGGGUGUGAGAGUGGAAAGUUCACACUGUGACGGUAUCUUACCAGAAAGGGACGGCUAACUACGUG